UUAAUUGAAACCAAAAAAUGAGGUAUAUUACUGUUAAUAAUAAAAAUGAGAUUUCUCCAAUUAAU
rnacentral:tRNA from 1 species